UACGAAGGGGGCUAGCGUUGUUCGGAAUUACUGGGCGUAAAGCGCGCGUAGGCGGUCAUGUAAGUCAGGGGUGAAAUCCCAGAGCUUAACUCUGGAAUGGCCUUUGAGACUGCAUGGCUAGAGAACGGGAGAGGUGAGUGGAAUUCCCAGUGUAGAGGUGAAAUUCGUAGAUAUCAGGAGGAACACCGGUGGCGAAGGCGGCCCACUGGGCAGUCACUGACGCUGAGGCGCGAAAGCUCGGGGAGCGAACGGG
rnacentral:rRNA from 1 species